rnacentral:rRNA from 1 species
AGAUUAAGUUAUUAAGGGCGCACGGUGGAUGCCUUGGCACUAGAAGCCGAUGAAGGACGUUACUAACGACGAUAUGCUUUGGGGAGCUGUAAGUAAGCUUUGAUCCAGAGAUUUCCGAAUGGGGAAACCCAGCAUGAGUUAUGUCAUGUUAUCGAUAUGUGAAUACAUAGCAUAUCAGAAGGCACACCCGGAGAACUGAAACAUCUUAGUACCCGGAGGAAGAGAAAGAAAAUUCGAUUCCCUUAGUAGCGGCGAGCGAAACGGGAAGAGCCCAAACCAACAAGCUUGCUUGUUGGGGUUGUAGGACACUCUAUACGGAGUUACAAAGGACGACAUUAGACGAAUCAUCUGGAAAGAUGAAUCAAAGAAGGUAAUAAUCCUGUAGUCGAAAAUGUUGUCUCUCUUGAGUGGAUCCUGAGUACGACGGAGCACGUGAAAUUCCGUCGGAAUCUGGGAGGACCAUCUCCUAAGGCUAAAUACUCUCUAGUGACCGAUAGUGAACCAGUACCGUGAGGGAAAGGUGAAAAGCACCCCGGAAGGGGAGUGAAAUAGAACCUGAAACCGUGUGCUUACAAGUAGUCAGAGCCCGUUAAUGGGUGAUGGCGUGCCUUUUGUAGAAUGAACCGGCGAGUUACGAUUUGAUGCAAGGUUAAGCAGUAAAUGUGGAGCCGUAGCGAAAGCGAGUCUGAAUAGGGCGUUUAGUAUUUGGUCGUAGACCCGAAACCAGGUGAUCUACCCUUGGUCAGGUUGAAGUUCAGGUAACACUGAAUGGAGGACCGAACCGACUUACGUUGAAAAGUGAGCGGAUGAACUGAGGGUAGCGGAGAAAUUCCAAUCGAACCUGGAGAUAGCUGGUUCUCUCCGAAAUAGCUUUAGGGCUAGCCUCAAGUGAUGAUUAUUGGAGGUAGAGCACUGUUUGGACGAGGGGCCCCUCUCGGGUUACCGAAUUCAGACAAACUCCGAAUGCCAAUUAAUUUAACUUGGGAGUCAGAACAUGGGUGAUAAGGUCCGUGUUCGAAAGGGAAACAGCCCAGACCACCAGCUAAGGUCCCAAAAUAUAUGUUAAGUGGAAAAGGAUGUGGCGUUGCCCAGACAACUAGGAUGUUGGCUUAGAAGCAGCCAUCAUUUAAAGAGUGCGUAAUAGCUCACUAGUCGAGUGACACUGCGCCGAAAAUGUACCGGGGCUAAACAUAUUACCGAAGCUGUGGAUUGUCCUUUGGACAAUGGUAGGAGAGCGUUCUAAGGGCGUUGAAGCAUGAUCGUAAGGACAUGUGGAGCGCUUAGAAGUGAGAAUGCCGGUGUGAGUAGCGAAAGACGGGUGAGAAUCCCGUCCACCGAUUGACUAAGGUUUCCAGAGGAAGGCUCGUCCGCUCUGGGUUAGUCGGGUCCUAAGCUGAGGCCGACAGGCGUAGGCGAUGGAUAACAGGUUGAUAUUCCUGUACCACCUAUAAUCGUUUUAAUCGAUGGGGGGACGCAGUAGGAUAGGCGAAGCGUGCGAUUGGAUUGCACGUCUAAGCAGUAAGGCUGAGUAUUAGGCAAAUCCGGUACUCGUUAAGGCUGAGCUGUGAUGGGGAGAAGACAUUGUGUCUUCGAGUCGUUGAUUUCACACUGCCGAGAAAAGCCUCUAGAUAGAAAAUAGGUGCCCGUACCGCAAACCGACACAGGUAGUCAAGAUGAGAAUUCUAAGGUGAGCGAGCGAACUCUCGUUAAGGAACUCGGCAAAAUGACCCCGUAACUUCGGGAGAAGGGGUGCUCUUUAGGGUUAACGCCCAGAAGAGCCGCAGUGAAUAGGCCCAAGCGACUGUUUAUCAAAAACACAGGUCUCUGCUAAACCGUAAGGUGAUGUAUAGGGGCUGACGCCUGCCCGGUGCUGGAAGGUUAAGAGGAGUGGUUAGCUUCUGCGAAGCUACGAAUCGAAGCCCCAGUAAACGGCGGCCGUAACUAUAACGGUCCUAAGGUAGCGAAAUUCCUUGUCGGGUAAGUUCCGACCCGCACGAAAGGCGUAACGAUUUGGGCACUGUCUC